rnacentral:rRNA from 1 species
UAAAGGAUUUCUUCGGAAUGAAUUUGAUUAAGUUGAGUGGCGGACGGGUGAGUAACGCGUGAGUAACCUGCCUCUGAGAGGGGAAUAACAUUCUGAAAAGAAUGCUAAUACCGCAUAAUAUAUAUUUAUCGCAUGGUAGAUAUAUCAAAGAUUUAUCGCUUAGAGAUGGACUCGCGUCCGAUUAGUUAGUUGGUGAGGUAACGGCUCACCAAGACCGCGAUCGGUAGCCGGACUGAGAGGUUGAACGGCCACAUUGGGACUGAGACACGGCCCAGACUCCUACGGGAGGCAGCAGUGGGGGAUAUUGCGCAAUGGGGGGAACCCUGACGCAGCAACGCCGCGUGAAGGAUGAAGGUCUUCGGAUUGUAAACUUCUUUUAUUAAGGACGAAGAAAGUGACGGUACUUAAUGAAUAAGCUCCGGCUAACUACGUGCCAGCAGCCGCGGUAAUACGUAGGGAGCAAGCGUUGUCCGGAUUUACUGGGUGUAAAGGGUGCGUAGGCGGCUUUGCAAGUCAGAUGUGAAAUCUAUGGGCUCAACCCAUAGCCUGCAUUUGAAACUGCAGAGCUUGAGUGAAGUAGAGGCAGGCGGAAUUCCCCGUGUAGCGGUGAAAUGCGUAGAGAUGGGGAGGAACACCAGUGGCGAAGGCGGCCUGCUGGGCUUUAACUGACGCUGAG